rnacentral:rRNA from 1 species
GGACGAACGCUGGCGGCGUGCUUAACACAUGCAAGUCGAACGAUGAACCGGUUUCGGCCGGGGAUUAGUGGCGAACGGGUGAGUAACACGUGGGCAAUCUGCCCUGCACUCUGGGACAAGCCCUGGAAACGGGGUCUAAUACCGGAUAUGACCACCGGCCGCAUGGUCUGGUGGUGGAAAGCUCCGGCGGUGCAGGAUGAGCCCGCGGCCUAUCAGCUUGUUGGUGGGGUGAUGGCCUACCAAGGCGACGACGGGUAGCCGGCCUGAGAGGGCGACCGGCCACACUGGGACUGAGACACGGCCCAGACUCCUACGGGAGGCAGCAGUGGGGAAUAUUGCACAAUGGGCGCAAGCCUGAUGCAGCGACGCCGCGUGAGGGAUGACGGCCUUCGGGUUGUAAACCUCUUUCAGCAGGGAAGAAGCGCGAGUGACGGUACCUGCAGAAGAAGCACCGGCUAACUAC